rnacentral:rRNA from 1 species
AUUGAACGCUGGCGGCAGGCUUAACACAUGCAAGUCGAACGGUAACAGAAAAUAGCUUGCUAUUUUGCUGACGAGUGGCGACGGGUGAGUAAUGCUUGGGAAUUUGCCUUAUGGUGGGGGACAACAGUUGGAAACGACUGCUAAUACCGCAUAAUCUCUUCGGAGCAAAGCAGGGGACCUUCGGGCCUUGCGCCAUUUGAUGAGCCCAAGUGGGAUUAGCUUGUUGGUAAGGUAACGGCUUACCAAGGCGACGAUCCCUAGCUGGUCUUAGAGGAUGACCAGCCACACUGGAACUGAGACACGGUCCAGACUCCUACGGGAGGCAGCAGUGGGGAAUAUUGCACAAUGGGGGGAACCCUGAUGCAGCCAUGCCGCGUGUGUGAAGAAGGCUUUCGGGUUGUAAAGCACUUUCAGCGAGGAGGAAAGGGUAGCGGUUAAUAACCGUUAUCUGUGACGUUACUCGCAGAAGAAGCACCGGCUAACUCCGUG